rnacentral:rRNA from 1 species
GAUGAACGCUGGCGGCGUGCUUAACACAUGCAAGUCGAACGAAGCACCUUGAUUCGAUUCUUCGGAUGAAGAUCUUGGUGACUGAGUGGCGGACGGGUGAGUAACGCGUGGGUAACCUGCCUCAUACAGGGGGAUAACAGUUAGAAAUGACUGCUAAUACCGCAUAAGACCACAGCACCGCAUGGUGCAGGGGUAAAAACUCCGGUGGUGUGAGAUGGACCCGCGUCUGAUUAGGUAGUUGGUGGGGUAACGGCCUACCAAGCCGACGAUCAGUAGCCGACCUGAGAGGGUGACCGGCCACAUUGGGACUGAGACACGGCCCAAACUCCUACGGGAGGCAGCAGUGGGGAAUAUUGCACAAUGGGGGAAACCCUGAUGCAGCGACGCCGCGUGAGCGAUGAAGUAUUUCGGUAUGUAAAGCUCUAUCAGCAGGGAAGAAAAUGACGGUACCUGACUAAGAAGCACCGGCUAAAUACGUGCCAGCAGCCGCGGUAAUACGUAUGGUGCAAGCGUUAUCCGGAUUUACUGGGUGUAAAGGGAGCGUAGACGGAGUGGCAAGUCUGAUGUGAAAACCCGGGGCUCAACCCCGGGACUGCAUUGGAAACUGUCAAUCUAGAGUACCGGAGAGGUAAGCGGAAUUCCUAGUGUAGCGGUGAAAUGCGUAGAUAUUAGGAGGAACACCAGUGGCGAAGGCGGCUUACUGGACGGUAACUGACGUUGAGGCUCGAAAGCGUGGGGAGCAAACAGGAUUAGAUACCCUGGUAGUCCACGCCGUAAACGA